rnacentral:lncRNA from 1 species
UCUCUUACAGUUACUGACAAGUUUAAGUGUUUUUCAGAGCUGAGAGUGAAGAUGAGUCCUUCUGCAGUGGUGACAGAGAGUCAGAGAGUCACACUGACCUGCAGUACCAGCUGUCCUCUGACUGACAACACAAACUACAUUUGGUACUUGAACAGUCGACCUCUGACCCCGAGAGAGAACCAGAACAAACAUCUGAUCCUAGACCCAGUCAGCAGGGAGGAUGCAGGAAGCUACUCCUGUGCUGUGAAAACCAACAAAGAUAUCAGCUCUGCUCCAAAGACUCUCACUGUCCAAAGUAUCACAGGAACAUGGACACCAGCAGCUGCAGGAGUUUCUGCAGCUCUGCUGCUUUUAAUACUUCUCACUGUCUGCUGGUGGAUCAGAAAAAGGAGAACUUCUAGAUUAUCGCCAACGAGUGAAACAAUGGAAAACUUGGAGCAGGUAAAGAAAAUAAAUAUGAUAAUUUUUCCUACAAAAGAGGAACAUCCCCCUGAUCUAUCUAGAUUAUUCCUUCAUGCACAUCAGAGCAGCUUUAUUUUAACAGAUAAUGACAAAAUGCUUGUGAGUCUCUACAAUCAGAGCACGGUUCUGCUGUAGUUCUCAUCUGAGGUUCCUGAUUUCAGAAAAGAGUCUUUCUCUUAUGUUCUGGUUUUCUGCAGGGCAUAAUUUAUUUUAUAUAAUGGUACAAUAAAGCCUGCUGAGCUUUUUGUAAAACAAUCAAAACUACAACUCAUCUUGUUCACUUUGUGAUACACUGUAAAAAGAAAAACCCUAUUGAAAUUAAAAAAAUUGAUGUCCAAUGGUCACAUCCAAAAUAUUUGACUUCAUAGAAUCCAAAUUGAGUCACUUGAUAUGACCUGAUACUUUUAUGUUGAUAUAAACAAUAUUACUAGACUUGACUGAAACUUUAAAUUUUGCAUUGAUCCAAAUUGAUUUUUUUACAUAGAACCAUAUUUUAAUUAUUGAACCAAGCUAAUAUAUUGAAAUUUAACCAACCUAAUGUAUUCACAUCGAACCAAAUUAACAUGAACUAAUAUGUUUGUCUUGAAGCCAGGUAAUUGAUUUACAUAUAUUCAAACUAUAUUUUUUACAUUUCAUUUUAUUUCAGUUCAAAAAUGCUCUGCAUUUCCUAUAAAAAACAAGACAGUUGGCCAACCAAUUAUUUCAAAAUUAUUUAUUGUUCCAAACCAUUUUAACUAUAAUCAAUAGAGAGGAUUAGUAAUAUAAAGAUUUAGUGCUACGGCAGAAAUGAUUAGAGAAAUGUUUGUUUUAUAAAACCUGCAACCUUUUGAAAACCAGUAUAAAACCUGCAAUCUUUUUAGAACUGGUAUAAAACCUGCAACCUGUCUAAAACUGGCAUAAAACCAAAACUCUUUUUAAACCAAUUUGCAAGUACUCAAAAAUGUUUAUAUGUGCACUGUGCCUGUACAAUGUAAAAAAAAAUGUACACAUGUAUCAAUGAAAUCAACUUAAAUCUCCCUUUCAAAUGGGUGUUCUUAUAACUUUUGAAUGUAGAAUACCACUGCAGGCCAACCAAGCAAAAUAACCAAGCACACAUGCACAUGCAUGUGCACAUACACAUGCAUGCACACAUGCAUGCAAACACACUACUGUGCAGUGUUAAGUUCACAAUUAAGUUUGCGAAUCUUAGAGGUCAUCUUGUUAAAGUCAAGCUCCAUCAUAAUCUUUUGAAGAGCCUCAAAGGUGAACCUGAAUCCUCGUGGAUAUUCCAUAUUAAGAGCAUAACAGAGUCCAAAGACCAUUGCCACUCCAGCUGCCACAGAAGGCAACUCAUUCAGGACUUCCACACCAUCAAUGAUUAUCCCGAUGUCUCGAGGCUGAUGUAGGAGGCUUGAGUUGUCCCUGAAGACGAAGAGUGCCAUUGUGGUACUCUGCAGCUCUUCCUCAGCUUCAUCUUUCUGGGAUAUCUUGAGGUAAAAUAUGGAACAAAAUGUACAAGUGAAGAACUGAAGUCUGGCACACCUGAUAAACCAUAAUAAACUACUAUUUUGAUAGUUGUUUGGUCACAGACUAUUAGAACAAUUAUUUGACUAAUCAGAUUGUGAAUUGCAUAAUCAUUAAAUUAAAUCAAUGGUGGAACAUUUUCAUAAAUGUUCCACAAAGCCCAAGAAAAAAAAGAAAACAAUACAGAACCCUAAGAUAUUAACUUGAUGAGUUGAUUAAUCGUUGCUGUUCUACAUUAAUCACUGCAUUUAAUAGCAGAGUUGUCAAAUUUACAUCAAGAGACUGCAUCUCAUGUAGAGACAGAACAGAUAUGGACAUACCAUGUAUUCUUUUAUCAAGUCCUCAACACGUUCUCCAAGGUAGAUAAUGAGAGAUUUAAGUAUACACUCCCUCCUAAUGUCAGCACCAGCAUCCUGCAGGAACAGUUAAAAUUGUUACUAUGCAAUAUGGAGAGUAUGCUGCGUGAAAGGCAUUUUUUUUUCACCUCUCUAUCCUCAUGAGGUGACUAAUGCCCCUUUUCCACCGACAAAUCGGCACGGUGCGCUUGAGAGCAGUUCAGUUUAGCGGGGAUGAACUCGCUUGUUGCGGUGGAAACAUAAAGUGGACGUAACUGGGAACAGGGGCGAACCCAUCUGGCUAUGAAAAGUCGCGCGCAAAAGUCUUUGUCCGCAACAUCACAGCCCAAAGAACAACAACAAUCGCGAUAUAUGUGUGUUUUUGUACUUUGCUCUGUCUGUGGUUCAUUUUGAUUGGUUUGAUUUGUGGUUCUUGUGGAGGAAGUCGCCAUGGUCCAAAGUCAAUGGAGUAUGGUUGCUGGGAGUUUUUUUUAAAGCUUUUUGUGGGAGCGCUUCUAUAUCACAUCACGUGGACACCACACACACCCGGGCCAAUGAGGUGUAAAGGCGGUGGAAAAGCGUCCGCAGGGGGCUAAAGUGAACUGAGCCACACCGUGUUCUGUCGGUGGAAAAGCAGCAUAUGCUUUCUUGUCCCUAAAUAAAAGUUUAUACGUAUAUAUGUAUGUAUGUGUAUCUGGCGAGUGAGAGUGAAAAUGUGUCUCCAAAAUAAAUUUUGUUGUAGUUGUGCUCUGUACUUGUAUAAUGACAAUAAAUCUCUUCAUUCAUUCAAGGACAAAGCAAACACUUCCUUUCAACAUUUUAAAAGGUCACAGCCAUAAUCACUGACGUUACCAAAAUAAAACUGUAACAGGAUACAAAUUCUCAUUAGAUACAGGGGUUAAAAUGCUAACUGUCAUGUUAAUAGUUAAUUAUAUAUACCCUACCUGAUCAAGAAACUCUAGGAUUAUGGCAGUUUUUGCUUUGGUUGUCCCUCCUUUCUUUCUGAUUAUUUUAAGUAGCUGUGGGGAGUGCUUGUCCAGCUGGGCCAUGAAUCUGGUUAGCAAGGGAACUGCAGUAACCCGCAGAAACUCUGCAUUAAUCUGUACAUGAGUAGACAGUGUACAAUACAUUUUUUAAAGACCAAAUUCCAACAAGAAAAAGUCAAAACAUAUAUUUCCCAUUUCCAAACUAUGAUAAAAGGCA